rnacentral:rRNA from 1 species
GAGUUUGAUCAUGGCUCAGGAUGAACGCUGGCGGUAUGCCUAACACAUGCAAGUCGUACGAGAGUUUUUAACUCAAGUGGCGGACGGGUGAGUAACACGUGAGAAUUUACCUUUAGGAGGGGGAUAACAAUUGGAAACGAUUGCUAAUACCCCAUAUGCUUAAGAGUGAAACAGAUUUAUCUGCCUAAAGAAAAGCUCGCGGCUGAUUAGCUUGUUGGUAAGGUAAUGGCUUACCAAGGCGACGAUCAGUAUCUGGUUUGAGAGGACGAUCAGACACACUGGAACUGAGACACGGUCCAGACUCCUACGGGGGCAGCAGUGGGGAAUUUUCCGCAAUGGGCGAAAGCCUGACGGAGCAAUACCGCGUGAGGGAAGACGGCCUAUGGGUUGUAAAC